GUGAUAAACUGGAGGAAGGUGGGGAUGACGUCAAGUCAUCAUGGCCCUUACGACCAGGGCUACACACGUGCUACAAUGGCAUAUACAAAGAGAAGCGACCUCGCGAGAGCAAGCGGACCUCAUAAAGUAUGUCGUAGUCCGGAUUGGAGUCUGCAACUCGACUCCAUGAAGUCGGAAUCGCUAGUAAUCGUAGAUCAGAAUGCUACGGUGAAUACGUUCCCGGGCCUUGUACACACCGCCCGUCACACCAUGGGAGUGGGUUGCAAAAGAAGUAGGUAGCUUAACCUUCGGGAGGGCGCUUACCACUUUGUGAUUCAUGACUGGGGUGAAGUCGUAACAAGGUAACCGUAGGGGAACCUGCGGUUGGAUCACCUCCUU
rnacentral:rRNA from 1 species